GACGAACGCUGGCGGCGUGCUUAACACAUGCAAGUCGAACGGAAAGGCCCUGCUUUUGUGGGGUGCUCGAGUGGCGAACGGGUGAGUAACACGUGAGUAACCUGCCCUUGACUUUGGGAUAACUUCAGGAAACUGGGGCUAAUACCGGAUAGGAGCUCCCGCUGCAUGGUGGGGGUUGGAAAGUUUCGGCGGUUGGGGAUGGACUCGCGGCUUAUCAGCUUGUUGGUGGGGUAGUGGCUUACCCAGGCUUUGACGGGUAGCCGGCCUGAGAGGGUGACCGGCCACAUUGGGACUGAGAUACGGCCCAGACUCCUACGGGAGGCAGCAGUGGGGAAUAUUGCACAAUGGGCGGAAGCCUGAUGCAGCAACGCCGCGUGCGGGAUGACGGCCUUCGGGUUGUAAACCGCUUUCGCCUGUGACGAAGCGUGAGUGACGGUAAUGGGUAAAGAAGCACCGGCUAACUACGUG
rnacentral:rRNA from 1 species